CCUACGGGAGGCAGCAGUGAGGAAUAUUGGUCAAUGGACGCAAGUCUGAACCAGCCAUGCCGCGUGAAGGACGAAGGCCUUUGGGUUGUAAACUUCUUUUAUUGGGGAAGCGGUACCCAAGGAAUCAGCACCGGCUAACUCCGUGCCAGCAGCCGCGGUAAUACGGAGGGUGCAAGCGUUAUCCGGAUUCACUGGGUUUAAAGGGUGUGUAGGCGGGUAUUUAAGUCAGUGGUGAAAUCUCCAGGCUCAACCUGGAAACUGCCAUUGAUACUAUUUAUCUUGAAUCUUGUUGAGGUGGGCGGAAUAUAUCAUGUAGCGGUGAAAUGCUUAGAUAUGAUAUAGAACACCGAUUGCGAAGGCAGCUCACUAAACAAGAUUGACGCUGAGGCACGAAAGCGUGGGGAUCAAACAGGAUUAGAUACCCUGGUAGUC
rnacentral:rRNA from 1 species